rnacentral:rRNA from 1 species
UACGGUAGGGAGCAAGCGUUGUCCGGAAUCAUUGGGUACGGUAAGCGCGUGUAUGGCGGUUACAUAAGUCAUUGUUGUGAAAAGUCGGAGGCUCAACCUUCGAAAGCCGAUGGAUACUGUGUGACUUGAUGUACGGAAGAGGAGAGUGGAAUUCCUGGUGUAACGGUGAAAUCGCAGAUAUCAGGAAGACACCCGUGGCGA